GAGAUUGCUUCGGUAAUUGACCUAGCGGCGGACGGGUGAGUAAUACUUAGGAAUCUGCCUAUUAAUGGGGGACAACAUCUCGAAAGGGAUGCUAAUACCGCAUACGCCCUACGGGGGAAAGCAGGGGAUCACUUGUGACCUUGCGUUAAUAGAUGAGCCUAAGUCGGAUUAGCUAGUUGGUGGGGUAAAGGCCUACCAAGGCGACGAUCUGUAGCGGGUCUGAGAGGAUGAUCCGCCACACUGGGACUGAGACACGGCCCAGACUCCUACGGGAGGCAGCAGUGGGGAAUAUUGGACAAUGGGGGGAACCCUGAUCCAGCCAUGCCGCGUGUGUGAAGAAGGCCUUAUGGUUGUAAAGCACUUUAAGCGAGGAGGAGGCUCUCUUGGUUAAUACCCAAGAUGAGUGGACGUUACUCGCAGAAUAAGCACCGGCUAACUCUGUGCCAGCAGCCGCGGUAAUACAGAGGGUGCGAGCGUUAAUCGGAUUUACUGGGCGUAAAGCGUGCGUAGGCGGCUUUUUAAGUCGGAUGUGAAAUCCCCGAGCUUAACUUGGGAAUUGCAUUCGAUACU
rnacentral:rRNA from 1 species